GACGAACGCUGGCGGCGUGCUUAACACAUGCAAGUCGAACGGAAAGGCCCUGCUUUUGUGGGGUGCUCGAGUAGCGAACGGGUGAGUAACACGUGAGUAACCUGCCCUUGACUUUGGGAUAACUUCAGGAAACUGGGGCUAAUACCGGAUCGGAGCUCCUGCUGCAUGGUGGGGGUUGGAAAGUUUCGGCGGUUGGGGAUGGACUCGCGGCUUAUCAGCUUGUUGGUGGGGUAGUGGCUUACCAAGGCUUUGACGGGUAGCCGGCCUGAGAGGGUGACCGGCCACAUUGGGACUGAGAUACGGCCCAGACUCCUACGGGAGGCAGCAGUGGGGAAUAUUGCACAAUGGGCGGAAGCCUGAUGCAGCAACGCCGCGUGCGGGAUGACGGCCUUCGGGUUGUAAACCGCUUUCGCCUGUGACGAAGCGUGAGUGACGGUAAUGGGUAAAGAAGCACCGGCUAACUACGUG
rnacentral:rRNA from 1 species